rnacentral:rRNA from 1 species
CCUACGGGAGGCAGCAGUAAGGAAUAUUGGUCAAUGGAGGCAACUCUGAACCAGCCAUGCCGCGUGCAGGAAGACGGCCCUAUGGGUUGUAAACUGCUUUUAUCUGGGAAUAAACCUUUUUACGUGUAAGAAGCUGAAUGUACCAGAAGAAUAAGGAUCGGCUAACUCCGUGCCAGCAGCCGCGGUAAUACGGAGGAUCCAAGCGUUAUCCGGAUUUAUUGGGUUUAAAGGGUGCGUAGGCGGCCUGUUAAGUCAGAGGUGAAAGACGGUAGCUCAACUAUCGCAGUGCCUUUGAUACUGACGGGCUUGAAUAAACUAGAGGUAGGCGGAAUGAGACAAGUAGCGGUGAAAUGCAUAGAUAUGUCUCAGAACACCGAUUGCGAAGGCAGCUUACUAUGGUUUUAUUGACGCUGAGGCACGAAAGCGUGGGGAUCAAACAGGAUUAGAUACCCUGGUAGUCCACGCCCUAAACGAUGAAUACUCGCUGUUAGCGAUAUACAGUUAGCGGCUAAGCGAAAGCGUUAAGUAUUCCACCUGGGGAGUACGCUCGCAAGAGUGAAACUCAAAGGAAUUGACGG